UGAUGUCACUCCAUGAUGAUGUCACAGGUUCAAUUACAAAAAAAUUGUACCUGUGACAUCAUCAUGUAGUGACAUCA
rnacentral:miRNA from 1 species